rnacentral:rRNA from 1 species
GACGAACGCUGGCGGCGUGCUUAACACAUGCAAGUCGAGCGAAAAGACCAGCUUUUUGUUGCUGUGAGGGUAGCGGCGGACGGGGGAGUAACACGUGGAUCACCUACCUACUAGACUGGGAUUACUUCGAGAAACGGGAGAUAAUGCCGAAUAACAUAUUGAACCGCAUGGUGGAUUAGUGAAAGACGGUUUUGCUGUUAGUUAUAGAUGGUUACGCGCCGGAUUAGCUGGUUGGUAAGGUCACGGCUUACCAAGGCGGCGAUGCGUAGCCGACGUGAGAGGGUGAUCGGCCACCCUGGAACUGGGACACGGUCCAGAGUCCUACGGGAGGGAGCCGUAGGGAUUCGGCCGCAAAGGGCGAGGGCCUUACGGAGAUGCGCCGCGUGAGUGAUGAGGGUCUUCGGAUCGGGGAUCUCUGCUAUUAGGGAAGAACAAGUGUGUACGUGGCUAGACGCGUCUUGACGGUACCUGAUCAAAAAGCCACGGCUAACUACGUG